CACAUGUUUAUGUUCCUAAUAUUUAAAAAAGUAUCUGUUUGUAAUUAAAUGAUUACCUUUUCUUUCAGCUUACCUGUUAAUUACAAGAUACACUAGUAUGCCAUUCCAGGUUUGAUGAAAUAUAAAGUGAUGGUUUGAAAUUGGAGAGUUUUAUUUUUAUACACAGGUAAAUUGUUUUAUCCUGCAAUCAGCUAACUUUUGUACAAUGAGACAACUCUCCUCAAGUGUCCAAAUGACACCAAAAUUAACAACUAUAGUUAUAGGUCACUGUAUGGCCUUCAACAAUGAGCAAAGCCCAUUCUGCAUAUUCAGCUACAAAAGGCCCCUAAAUUGCAAAUGUAUUUUUUAGCAAUUCAAAGGAGAAAACUAACAGUCUAAUAUGUAACACAGCAACAUAGACAACCACUGAAUAACAGGCACAUGCAUACAGAAUGUGGAGGGGUUAAUAGUCUAUAGAUAUAGGAAGAUGUGGUGUGAGUGCCAAUGAGACAACUCUCCAUCCAAAUAACAAUUUAUAAAAGUUAACCAUUAUAUGUCAACGUACGGCCUUCAACAAGGAACCUUGGCUCACACUGAACUUAAAGCUAUAAAGGGCCCCAGAAUUACUAGUGUAAAACCAUUCUUACGGUAAAACCAAGUCCAACAGUCUAAUCUAUAUAAAAAAAACCAAGAAACACAUAUAAAUUACAUAAACAAAAGACAACUACUGUAUAUGCUAGUGAGUGUUUUUUAUGCCCCAUUUAGGGGCAUUAUGUUUUCUGGUCUGUGCGUCCGUCUGUUCGUUCGUCCGUCCGUCCGUCUGUCCCGCUUCAGGUUAAAGUUUUUGGUCGAGGUAGUUUUUGAUGAAGUUGAAGUCUAAUCAACUUGAAACUUAGUAUAUAUGUUCUGUAUGAUAUGAUCUUUCUAAUUUUAAUUCCAAAUUAGAGAUUUAACCCCAUUUUCAUGGUCCACUGAACAUAGAAAAUGAUAGUGCGGAUGGGGCAUCCGUGUACUGGGGACACAUUCUUGUUUAAUUUGUGCAAAUAAAUUUCUGUUUUCUUACAUUGUAAGAAUAUUAAUGUACAUGUAUGAUGUAUAUUCAGAAGUUAUUGUAAUGUUUUUAUAUAGCAAAUUUGCAUUUUGAAUAUUGCAAUAAUGGAACUCACAUUCUGAUCUCAAUAAAUAUAACUCAUUUUAUUUUAAAGUUUUAUCAAAGUAGUGCACCUUAUUAAAAUGUGUGUGAAAAAUUACAUCCUUGUUCAAAUGUUUAAUGAAAUUUCUCGCUACAUUGAAGACCCAUUGGUGGCCUUCGGCUGUUGUCUGCUCUAUUGUCGGGUUGUUGUUGUUUUAACACAUCCCCAUUUCCUUUCUCAAUUUUAUUAUUCAUGUUAUUAAAUAAAGACCAGGGAAUUAUGUUGUUUGCAUUUUAACAGUAACUUCUUGAAGAAAUAUGUUUGCACUUACUUUUUAAUACUUUAAUCAUAAAUAUCAUGUUAAACAUUUCAUUUAAAUAUAUAUACAUGUACAUUAUAUUUGCAUUUUCAUAUUUCAGCAAUGAUGAUCACCUGUACCGAGACAGCAGAAGAAAGUUACUUAUUUAUAACUCAUCAUGACCAUUUAAUACCGAAAAUCUGAUUAAAAUUUGUUUGGAAAGCCACCAAAUAUUUCAAUGAAAAGAAGAAAAAAGACAGCAAUUCUAUAUCAUGUAUAUCAUGUACUAAGCAGAAGCAUUUGCUGUUUCAAGACCCAGUUGAAUUGGAGUUUAGUGUUUUGAUGCAGUGAGACAGAGGAAUAUUUAAGUGAACAGUUUAGCUUCUUUUUCAUCAUCGUGAUCAUUAAAGUUGAUGUUUACCAUCGGAGAGAGCUUUUUCCUCAGUUGAAAUGAAUUCUAAAUACAGGCAGUUUGGAGACUUUGUAUAUUUCUUACAAUUGGAGUUCUAAAAAGGAUUACAUUUAAAAAAAAAUGUGUUGCAACAGUUUCAUGGAUUUAAUUUGUGGUCUCUUUCGUGAAAUAUUUGAAAAAUGCAAUAUCUAACCAAGUAGUUUAUUAGAGAUCUACAGAUGAACAUAUGACAUGUAUGACAUUCAGAUGAAUUUGAAAGAAGGAAAUAUAUUUAUUUAUAAGACUUUAAUAUGAGUGUUUAGUUAUUUUUUGGCAAUUACAGGCAUGACAGGGAGUAAUUAUAAGAUAAAGUUAUUUGAUUUAAACAUAAAUCCUACCUACAGAUAUACAUGCGAUAUACAUAUAUGCAUGUAGGCAUACAAUUCACUGACACACCACUAAUUUGAGUUACAUGUACAUGUAAUGAUAAAAGUAAGAAUAUGACAUAUAAAAAAAAAUUGAUUCACUCAGAUUGCCAAUGAAACAACUCUCCAUCAGGGAAAAAAUAGUUGUUUAUAUACAUGUAUUGGCCACCUGCAGAGACAUGAGAGAACAAGAAAAUCAUAUUUUAUCAUGAUUUAUAAUUUUUCUAUUUCAUUUCAUAUAAACACUGAAUACAGGCCUACAUUUGUAGGUGUACAAAAAGUUCAAAAGCAUAAAACAGUGUUGUAAUCAUGCAGUUGUUGUUCAUCUGAAAGUCGUAUGAUAUUGAUGUUGGGCUUCAAUAAUGAGCAAAACAUCUGUAUAACAGCCACAUAAUGGUUAAUUUUGAACAAAAUAAUUAUGGG
rnacentral:lncRNA from 1 species